rnacentral:lncRNA from 1 species
GGGGAUGCUCUACCCUCCCCGUGCCAUUGUGAGGUAGCAGCUGUGCACCUCCUGACUAGGCCCCACGUCAUGUCACAGUCAUUGUGGUUUCACAGAACUGAGAGGUGCAGUAGCACCUCACAGCUCUUGUGUGGUUUCCCUCUCACAUGGGACACAGGACAGAGCCAGCAUGCGGCAAGAGGGGAGUCUGGACAAAGGCUGGUCAUAAAUUACCAAGUGUGUGGAGACACUGCGCUGAAUCACCUCACUUGGUAUGUUCCAGAGAGCUUAUUGUCAUCAUUUCGCUCUAUGGAUUCCAUCUCGCCUGGAACAAGAAAUAACCUCAGGCUUAUCCAGUAGGUGAAGGGAUGGCAUCAUGGUUGCCAAAUGAGAGCAGCCUAAAACUGCUGAUUGGUGAUAACAGCAAGACAAGAGGCUUCAGAUCUGCAGUGACACCUGCAAGCAGUAUUAACAGAGUGAACAUGCUGGAGGGACCCAAAAGUCUUUUUGCAGUUCCCAGACACCUUAGAGAAGGGGAGAAGAUGGAGGGCUCUUCCCUAGUCAGGCUCAGCACCAGCCGGCACAGCUGCUUGUAGGUAUGGGGGCAGAGAGGUGCUCCCAUUCAAAAGGCCUUGACCUUCUGGGAUAUUACACUCCUGC